rnacentral:rRNA from 1 species
GAUGAACGCUGGCGGCGUGCCUAAUACAUGCAAGUCGAGCGAACAGAUAAGGAGCUUGCUCCUUUGACGUUAGCGGCGGACGGGUGAGUAACACGUGGAUAACCUACCUAUAAGACUGGGAUAACUUCGGGAAACCGGAGCUAAUACCGGAUAACAUAUUGAACCACAUGGUUCAAUAGUGAAAGGCGGCUUUGCUGUCACGUAUAGAUGGAUCCGCGCCGUAUUAGCUAGUUGGUAAGGUAACGGCUUACCAAGGCAACGAUACGUAGCCGACCUGAGAGGGUGAUCGGCCACACUGGAACUGAGACACGGUCCAGACUCCUACGGGAGGCAGCAGUAGGGAAUCUUCCGCAAUGGGCGAAAGCCUGACGGAGCAACGCCGCGUGAGUGAUGAAGGUCUUCGGAUCGUAAAACUCUGUUAUCAGGGAAGAACAAAUGUGUAAGUAACUGUGCACAUCUUGACGGUACCUGAUCAGAAAGCCACGGCUAACUACGUG